rnacentral:misc_RNA from 1 species
ACGUGCGUGCGCAUACACACUACCCCUCACCUCGCUGCUGCUGCUGUGACAGCUCCACGGACCCUGCCCAGUCGCUGCUCCCCCGCCACUCGCCUCUGUCCCCCGCACGAGGGUACCUACGACGUGCCGGCCACCCCGCUCUGCCCGAUAAGCUGAGCUGGUGCUCACGCCCCAGCAAUCCCGCCCACGGAUCUGCUGCCGCGCCGCACUGCUCUUGACGCUGGCUGCGAAUGGCGCUGUGCGUGCGUCGGCUGGUGCUGGCGGCGACCCUCGCCGCUGCGGUGGCGCUGCUGCUGUGCACGAGCAGUGCGCCGGUGGUGCGUGCCGCUGGAACGGCCGAAUUCACUGAAACCCAGAAGUCAAACACGCUGAAGGUGCUGCAGGCGUUUGCGCGUGCGAUCCCUGAGCUUGGGAAGAAGUGGACGGGCGACGACUUCUGCUGGUGGGGGUUCGUCAUGUGCGUGUCAUCCGGCGUCAGCGUAUCGGUCCAACUCUCGAGCGCUGCCGGCACGCUGCCGGAGAUGCCUGAUAGCGUCGACUACACGAACGUCAUCAUCACGGGCCUCCGGUUCUUUCUAAUGCCAGAACUGGUCGGGACGCUGCCGGCCAGCUGGAGCAGGCUGCAGGGACUGACCUCCCUUACGUUUUGGGGCUGCGGCGUGAGCGGGACGCUGCCCCCUCGUGGCGCUCGAUGAAGUCUUUGACGUCGGUGUGGAUUCAAGACUGUCGAAGUAUCACCGGCACGCUGCCGCCUGAGUGGGCCUCGAUGCCUCUUCUGACGACGCUGCGGCUGAGGUACCUGCCACUGAGGAGUACGCUGCCCACUCAGUGGAGCUCGAUGACAUCGCUCACGAUUUUAAGUCUGGACAGUACUCAGGUUUACGGCACGCUGCCGCCCGGGUGGAGCGGAAUGUCGAAUGCCUGGCUCCUGCAGCUGGAGAACUGCGACCUGUCCGGCAGUCUGCCCUCCUCGUGGUCUGCGAUGCCGAAGCUGGAGAAAGUCUCACUGAGGGGCAACCACUUCUGCGGGUGUGUGCCGGACUCGUGGGCCCAGAACGCCGGUCUUGAUGUGAGUAUCGAGGAUAAGCACAAGGGCAGCAACUGCAUUGCUGGUACGGAGUGCACAACGCCCACGACGACCACGACCACCACUAAACCGCCCACCACGACCACCACUAAACCGCCCACCACCACGACCACAACGACUACUCAGCCGCCGACUGCACCGCCCACCACGACCACCGCUGAACCCCCCACCACCACGACCACAACAACUACUCAGCCGCCGACUGCACCCCCCACCACGACCACUGAGGCACCGUCUGAACCCACGACCACUGCGAGCCCAACAGCCACGCCUACUCCUGCCCCAGAGACGGAGUGCGGGGUGGAUGGGUGUGAGGUGUGCGAGGGGGACUCCGCGGCGAGGUGCGCCAGGUGCGGUGAGGGCUACUUCCUGACGGACGAGAGGACGUGCCUGGUGUACUGCGAUGGCGGCGUUGCGGCCGUGUCGAGCGGAGCGGCUGCUGCCGCUGCUGUGUGCGUGGUGGUGCUGCUGAGCGUGGGGCUGGCGGCGUGAGGAUGCCGCUGCUGUCACGCGCAGGCGGCGGCCCUCGCUGCGUGGCACACGACUGUGUGCGUGCUUGCGUGCAGCACCGCCCCCUGCGCUGGCGUGCGCGUGCGUGUCUCUGUGUGCAUGACUGUUGGCGUUGCCCUCCCUCCUGCCUCUGCCUCUCCGCGUGUGGAUGCUGUGGGCUGUGCGUGGGGCUCUCGUGCGGCGCUGCUGCUCUCGCGGUGUCGCUCCUCUGCCCUGACUCUCUCUCUCGCCCGCGUGUGUGCCUGUGGGCUGAUGGGGGCGGAGCGCGGGUGUGUGUGGAGCGGGGCAGCCGCUGGAGAGAGGGGGAGGGCGAUAGCCGAGGCGCAAGGGCCGCGGUGUUUGUGCGGCCAUGUGCGGGUGUGCGGCACACGCGGCGCUGCGUGCAUCGGCUUUGGACCGACAGCCCGCACCCCCUUCCGUCGCCUCCACUUCUCCCUCGCUCCCUCGUUGCACGUGAGAGGCGCGCACCCAUGGCUGCUGCGGCGCACACGCAAGGCAGCGUGUAUUGUGUCUCGGUGCGACCUCUGCAUGGCGGCCCCGCUCUGCGACACCUUGUUGCCCGGGCACUCCGGCGGCGUGCGCUCUGUCCCCCUCUCCUGUCACGUGUCGUGAUGCGCUGCUGCGCUGAGGAUGCGUGCACACGGCCUGCCAGCACGGCUGCUGCACGAGCCGCAGCAAUGGCGUACAGCAGGGUGUGGGCGUCGGGCGCAGUGCUGGUCUGGUGAGGCGGACCCCUCUUAUCUGUGGUGCCCCUGCUGCCUCCCCUCCCCCUCGGCACGACGUCCUCGCUGCCCUCUCACCCCCGGCUGCUACAGGAGAGACCGACGCCCACGCGCGGACGCAGACACACACCGUCGUGCACCGUUCGCGCUUUCCCCCGCUGUCGCGCCGGCACGGAUGCACGAGGAUGCGGGGGCGUGCGCACGUAUGUGCGUGUGUGCGUGCCGGCUGUUGUCUGUCGCUCUCUCUCUGCGACCAGCACUCGGCACCCGCGCCGAUGGAAUGUGUGCGCGGCGGUGGAGGCUCGCCUUGGGCCGCGGGUGCGGACGUCCGCCACUGGCUGUCUGCGGUGCGGGCUGCUGUGCUGCAGCGCCUCGAGGCCCCCCUCUCCCGCCAGGGCGAGCGAGCGAGCCUCUGCUGCCGUGUGGGCGACGCACGCAUGCACCGUCCGGGCCUCUUCAACGUGCUUCGAUAGCGGUGCUGUGUUUUGGCCGUGUGGGCGGGUGCUGCGGAGGCGCCUGGCGUGGCUGUGCUGGCACGCCUUGCCGCGCCCCUUGCGCCGCUGCCAUCGGCGGCUUCGUCGCUGACGCUGCCGCUCGCACGCGUGCUCGGGUCGUCUGUGCAGCAGCGGUGGUGUGCCGGAGUCGGCGGCACGCCGUCGAACCCUGAUUGGCGCCUCCGCCAGGUGCGACGGGGAGGCUGGGGGGAUGGGGAGGGCGUGGGCGCCCUCGUGCGCGGCAUGCGGGGAUGCGCGUGCGGCGGCGCUCUACUGCGCUGAGUAGUGAGGCUCGGUGCACGCGGCGCGAUGACACGCAGCCUCGCUACCGGGCCACCCCGCUGUGCGUACGCAGCGGGUGAGCAGGCCCGUGCUCUCCCCUGCAGCUUGCCCCUCUCCCCCACCCUCCUCUCUCGCAUGCCGGCGAGGGAGGGGUGGCACGUGCGCGUGUGCCGCUGCGCUUGCGAGUGCGUCUGUGCGUGGGCCCUCACCACGUGCUCCGGUCACGCCUUUUCGGCUGGCCACUCGCGGCGCUGAGGGCGGUGUGCCCCUCCCCCGAGCGCCGUCGCACUCUCUUCCGCGCGCCUGCGCGGGCUUCUUCGUGCGCUGUGCUCAGCCGUGCGCUCUCACCUCUUUCCCUUUUCAUUCGCUUGUCUUCUCUCUUCUCCCCCGCACUGCGGUCUCCCCUCCUCUGCCGUGCGGUGCGCAGGCGGGUGACUUGCCGUUGCGUCUCCCCCUUUCGUGGAGCGCUGAGCCGAUCCCCCUUCGGCCUCCCUCCUCCCUCCUCCCGUGUGGGUCCUGUCUGUUGUACAUCGUCGGACCGUCUCUUCGUGUUGCCUCUCCGCCACUUCCGCAAAUCUGCGCUCGCGUGUGCCGCCUCCCGGACUUGAGCCUUACUGUGAUUGUAUUCUCACGGUGCGUCUCCGUGUGCGUGUGUGCAUCACCGUUGGGCGGCGACAUCGCUGCCCCUCCCUGCCACCCUCUCCUCCCUCAUUCGCAUCUGGAACUUUCGUGGGCGGCGCAUGCGUGCAUUUGGAUGUGUGUGUAAGUGUUUGGGUGUAGGUAUAUGCGUGUGUGUUGAAGUAGCUGUGUAUAAGCAAGGGCAUGUGUCUGUGCAUGCAUAUAAAUAUGUUUAUGUGUAGUGUGUGCCGGCACGUGUGUCGCGCCACGCUCUCUUGCCCGCCUCCCCUGUGCCUGUCACUCGCUCUGGGCGCGCUGGCGGCGGGCGCCGGGUGGUGGCCGCGCGGAAGGUGGGCGGCGGCCCUUCCCUAUUUCUGUUUUUCGCUAUUUCUCUGUUUCCU